GAUGAACGCUGGCGGCGUGCUUAAUACAUGCAAGUCGAGCGAAAGGACGAGAAGCUUGCUUCUCUGAUGUUAGCGGCGGACGGGUGAGUAACACGAGGAUAACCUACCUAUAAGACUGAGAUCACUACGGGACACCGGCGAUAACACCGGAUAAUAUCUUGAUCCGCAUGGUUCAAAAGUGAAAGUCGGUCUUGCUGUCACUUAUAGAUGGAUCCGGGCUGCAUUAGCUAGUUGCUAAGGUCACGGGCUACCAAGGCAACGAUGCAUAGCCGACCUGAUAGAGUGAUCGGCCACACGGGAGCGUGGACGGCGUCCAGACGCCUGCGGGAGGCAGCAGUAGGGAAUCUGACGCAAUGGGCGAAAGCCUGGCGGAGCGGCGCCGCGCGAGAUAUGAAGGUCUUCCGAGCGUAAAACUCUGUUAUGAGGUGAGAACAUAUGUGUAAGUAACUGUGCACAGAGUGACGGUACCUGGUCAGAAAGCCACGGCUAACUACGUG
rnacentral:rRNA from 1 species